rnacentral:tRNA from 1 species
GGAAAGAUGGCUGAGUGGCCUAAGGCACAUCCCUGCUAAGGAUGAGUACCUCUAAACUGGUACCGAGGGUUCAAAUCCCUCUCUUUCCG